rnacentral:rRNA from 1 species
CCUACGGGGUGCAGCAGUGAGGAAUAUUGGUCAAUGGCCGGAAGGCUGAACCAGCCAUGCCGCGUGAAGGUCAGUGCCCUAUGGGCGUUAAACUUCUUUUGUGCGGGAGCAAUAAUGGUCACGUGUGGCCCGACGAGAGUCCCGUACGAAUAAGCAUCGGCUAACUCCGUGCCAGCCGCCGCGGUAAUACGGGGGAUGCAAGCGUUUUCCGGAUUUAUGGGGUUUAAAGGGUGCGCAGGCGGUCCUUUAAGUCCGGGGUCAAAGCCCGGGGCCACAACCCCGGCCCGCCGUUGAAACUGGCAGUCUCGAGUUGGAUAGAAGUAUGCGGAAGGCGCGGUGUAGCGGUGAAAUGCAUAGAUAUCGCGCAGAACUCCGAUUGCGAAGGCAGCAUGCCGGCUCCACACUGACGCUGAGGCACGAAAGCGUGGGUAUCGAACAGGAUUAGAUACCCUUGUAGUC